rnacentral:rRNA from 1 species
UAAAAAUUUAAUUUAAAAUAUUUAAGUAGUAUUAGUUAAGUUCUUUAAAUUUAAAAAAUUUGGCGGUAUUUUAGUCUAUUCAGAGGAACCUGUUUUUUAAUCGAUAAUCCACGAUGGACCUCACUUAAAUUUGUUUUUAGUUUAUAUAUCGUCGUUAAAAGAAUAUUUUAUAAGAAUAAUAAUUUUCUUAAUUUUUAAUUUUAAAAUAUAUCAGAUCAAGAUGUAGCUUAUGUUUAAGUUUAUAAUGGGUUACAAUUAUUAUAUUAUUGGAAAUUAAUAUGUAAUUUAUUAUUUAAAAUUGGAUUUGAUAGUAAAUUUAUAUAGAUUAAUAGAUUGAUUAUAGCUCUAAAAUAUG